GGAAACUUGGAAACUACCGUUGAAUUGAGAAAAUGGACGUUUGAGAUUCGUCCAUGUCAUCCUGAGUUAAAAUUUAACUUGCAGAUUCACUCAUGAGUUAAAAUUUUACUAGGAGUUAAACUUUAACUCAUGGUGACGUGGACGAAUCUCGGACAUCCAUUUCUCGAUCCAACGGUAGUUUUCAUGUUUUC
rnacentral:pre_miRNA from 1 species